GGGUCAGUAGGUUGGUCGUGCCACCGGUACGUACUGGUCUCACUGACUCCUCCUUCCUGAAGAACCGUAAUGCCAUUAACUUGGUGUUGCGGGGAAACAGGACUGUUACUUUGAAAAAAUUAGAGUGUUUAAAGCAAGCUAACGCUUGAAUACAUUAGCAUGGAAUAAUGAAAUAGGACGAUCGAUCCUAUUUUGUUGGUUUCUAGGAUUGACGUA
rnacentral:rRNA from 1 species